rnacentral:lncRNA from 1 species
UAUAACAUUAUAAAAAAAUGUUGUAACAUAUUUUGAAAGACCAAAUCAAUAACUAAUUCAAAUGUUAUAAGUAUUUUGAAAGACCAAAUCAAAUAAUUGAUUCAAUUAAAAACUAAUUCGUUUUUUAUCAUGCUAAAAGGACAGAGUCAAGGUAAGGUAAAAAUAAAGUUGACCCCCAAGGUACAAAAUGUCACUUGGGCUAGCUCACAUGUAUACUGUCAUGACCCGAAACUCUCCAUCAGGCCCGUGACAAUCGUCGCGAAGCCUCGAAGACAUUCUUCACCUCGAAUGCCGAUCGAAACCUCGCAAGACUCUCGUAUCAGCUUUCGCAUUUUCCCGGUGAGCAAUAGUUAUCAAAUAUCGUAAUUUAAAAGAUUACAAGUCAUUUCCAAAUCAAAACAUAACAUAUUAUUUUCUAGCUCACAGGGGCAUUUUCGUCAUUUUUUGUCGAAAAUCUCAAAACUUGCUAAAAUGUAGUAUGUAAGCAGAAAAUAUAUAUUUAGUGAUUUAGAAACAAAUUAAGUAUCUAAAACGUUCAUUUGUAGUGAAAAUAUGACAAUUUGAAUAUAAUAAAAAUAUUCAAUAAAAUAAGCUAUUUUCUUGUAAAAUAAUUUUUUUAAAGCUAUCGGUAAAUAAUUCUUAUAGCGUAAAAAUUAAUUAUAUUCAUAUAUACUAUAAAGCAAAUAACCAAAGUAUAAAAUUACUUUUACAGUGACACGUGGGCUCACAUCUAACCAAAAUGCAUCGGAAGUUGAAAACCUACAACUUUUGCCGAUUCAAGUCCAAAUGAAGGUCCUUAUCAAAGUCAGCUAACUAUAAAAUUCCCUGAGC